rnacentral:lncRNA from 1 species
UUUCCUGAAAUAGUAAUUAGGUUUUCUUUAUUUUAGUCUUUGCUAUUCAGUUAUAAACAUUAGAUUUAAGAAAAGCAUCCAUGUUUUUAUUUUUACUAAAUUCCUUAAGAAUUCUUUAUUUUGGCUAACAGAAUUACCAAAGAACUUAAGAGUAGUUAAGCAUAUUGUCUUAAUUACUGUUUUUAGAUAGAAAAGGACAUGUCCGUAUAAUCCCCAUUUUUGUGGAAUGCUUCACUUUAGGGACACACAGUCAUGCAAAGGCAAGGUGAAAAACUAAUCUUUUAAUUCAGACAAUCUGCUUUUUUUUUCUUGGAUGUAUUUUUCCAGAAUUUUUUUUUUUUUGCAUGUGUGUGUGAAGUUUUUCUAUGAUUCCUUUUGCAUUUAGAUUGUGGCAUAUGGUUAAGCUGACUGCUCAUUUGUAAUUCCUUCAAAAUGGAUUUUUAAUGUUGUUAUAAUCUGUGUAUGAUCUUAUUAUUUUAUCAUGUUAAGUCUUCAUUUCAGUUUUGGUACACAAUAUAUUAUGUUGAAUGGUA